rnacentral:rRNA from 1 species
UACAGAGGGCGCGAGCGUUAAUCGGAUUAACUGGGCGUAAAGGGCGCGUAGGCGGUUAUGUGAGUGUGAUGUGAAGGCCCUGGGCUUAACCUAGGAAGUGCAUCGCAAACGACAUGACUGGAGUAUUGGAGAGGGUAGCGGAAUUUCCGGUGUAGCGGUGAAAUGCGUAGAGAUCGGAAGGAACGUCGAUGGCGAAGGCAGCCACCUGGCAUAAUACUGACGCUGAGGCGCGAAAGCGUGGGGAGCGAACAGG